rnacentral:rRNA from 1 species
AGCGAACGCUGGCGGCAGGCUUAACACAUGCAAGUCGAACGGUCCUUCGGGAUAGUGGCGGACGGGUGAGUAACACGUGGGAACGUACCCUUAGGUUCGGAACAACACAGGGAAACUUGUGCUAAUACCGGAUAAGCCCUUCGGGGGAAAGAUUUAUCGCCUUUGGAGCGGCCCGCGUCUGAUUAGCUUGUUGGUGAGGUAAUGGCUCACCAAGGCUACGAGCAGUCGCUGGUCUGAGAGGAUGGCCAGCCACACUGGGACUGAGACACGGCCCAGACUCCUACGGGAGGCAGCAGUGGGGAAUCUUGCGCAAUGGGCGAAAGCCUGACGCAGCCAUGCCGCGUGGAUGAUGUAGGUCUUAGGAUUGUAAAAUCCUUUCACCGGGGACGAUAAUGACGGUACCCGGAGAAGAAGCCCCAGCUAACUUCGUGCCAGCAGCCGCCGUAA